rnacentral:snoRNA from 1 species
UAGGCCUUUUUAGGCUGGUGCUGUGCUUUAAGGCUAGCACGGAAGGGUAAAGUAAGUCUCCAUGAAACUCCUCUUUGGAUGCUGUCUAGAGUUAUAGCU